UGGGCUAUCGCCAAACGGUAAGGCAACGGACUCUGACUCCGUCAUCUCUAGGUUCGAAUCCUAGUAGCCCAG
rnacentral:tRNA from 1 species